GGCCGCCCGGACCACUUCCGGUCGCGUGCGUUCCAUCAGCGGGACGCGUGCACACACUAGAAUAUGACACAACAGGUGCUCUUGAAUGUAGCAAGAUGGUGGAGCUUUAGUUGUGUAUCUGCAGCGGGAGACGUUACACCCUGGGCUGACCACACUCCCUUCCCUGGGACAGAGCCAAAAAUGGAAAUUAGCAGCACGUUGUGAGAGAGGAAAUAUUUACCAGGCAAGGAACGGAAGUGUAUGAGCAAACGUAUACUUAAUCUGCACAGAGAAGACCUAAUUCCAUCUCCUGUGGCCCUGGGACUACUUCUGCACUUAUACGUGGUCUGUUUUUACUUCCAGUUGUGAGGAUUUAAAUCGCUGCAGAGGCUGAAAAUCUAGUACACAAUGGCCACUUGUUCAUGUAUUCUAUGGUGCAUAUUUUGGAUCAUCAUCUUGAUUUUCUUGGCUUGGCCGCUGAGUAUAUUCCUUGGAGCUGUGUAUGGGUUCUUGGCACCCCUCACAACUUGUGUAGGACUGGAUAAGGUGACAGACUUGCUCCUACAGGGAGUUAACUUGGGCAGAACCUGCGCAGAAUAUGCACGUGCAGGCAAAUCUCUAUGCUGAACUGGAAACGUGGACCUUCGGAACCUGGCAAAACCUUCAUCUCAAAACAUCGACGCAUCGAAGAUGCAAUAUAACAUCUGUCUUAUGGUGCAGUGACUUAACAACUUUGCCUUCAAGGGCUGCAGUUGUUUGUCUAUGUCAUUUGUUCCAUGAUGAGAAUUUUAUUUCUGCUUGUUAAUAAAAGUGUAAAAUAAUAAUAAUCUGGAAAUAACAGCAAGCCCGCCAAUCUUGGGUAGCCAGAAGCAAAUUAACAUAUCUUCACCAAGCAAUUAAAUGGUUGUGUGGGGGUUAUACCUUUCUAUUGCAUGCCAUGUCUAACAUCUAGAUUGCUCCCAACAUCAAAUUUAUACCAUUGGCUAUUUGUACGGACAUAUAUGAAAUCUACUUAGGUAUUUAGAUCACAGUAUCUGGUGCCAUGACAUGGAGCGGUAUUUAACCCUUUGUCUGUAGCUCAGUCUUUCCCACUCAAACAAAUUCAUAACAGAGUGGGCAAAAGUAAAGAGUUCCAAGGCAGAAUACAUUCACUCUUCCAGUAUUAUGUAUUACCAUCCCAUCGAUAGUGCAAUAGUAGAAAAGUAUAAUGCUGGUGGAUGGCGUUCUGUGACAAUUUCCUCCUGAGAUAUCUUUGGCUCCUCUUCUCUUGAUGACCACUAUAUGAGUUCCUAAAAGACUGUGGUCCCUCAUCCGGGAUAAUAUGACAUAUACAUCACUUCUCUUGAGCGGGGGGCUCUUUUGACUAGAAUACUCAAGUGCUCUCCUCUGUAACACAUAAACCUCUCAUAGCAUGUGCCCAUAUGUUCUAAUGUUCUGGCCUGAUGAAAGCCUAGCUUUACUCUAAAGUGACUCAUGAUGCCCAAUAAUACUUUAGAUUUUUCUUAAAUCAACCCUCAACAAGGGCUGCAUUAUGUAGGACGUGUAUUUAUUGGAUGUUGUAUACGUGGGAAUUUUAUUUUAGGAUUUGCAGAUGUGAGUUUUACAUAUUUUUUUCUCAAUGCUUUUUUAAGCUUACUUACAAACAAUAAAAAUUACAUUACAUGCAU